CAACAGGGAUUGCCCCAGUAACGGCGAGUGAAGCGGCAACAGCUCAAAUUUGAAAUCUGGUCCCUAGGGCCCGAGUUGUAAUUUGUAGAGGAUGCUUUUGGUGAGGUGCCGCCCGAGUUCCCUGGAACGGGACGCCACAGAGGGUGAGAGCCCCGUCUGGCUGGCCGCCGAGCCUCUGUAAAGCUCCUUCGACGAGUCGAGUAGUUUGGGAAUGCUGCUCAAAAUGGGAGGUAUAUGUCUUCUAAAGCUAAAUAUUGGCCAGAGACCGAUAGCGCACAAGUAGAGUGAUCGAAAGAUGAAAAGCACCUUGAAAAGAGGGUUAAAUAGUACGUGAAAUUGUUGAAAGGGAAGCGCUUGUGACCAGACUUGGGCGCGGCGGAUCAUCCGGGGUUCUCUCCGGUGCACUUCGCCGCGUCUAGGCCAGCAUCAGUUCGUCGCGGGGGAAAAAGGCUUCGGGAACGUGGCUCCUCCGGGAGUGUUAUAGCCCGUUGCAUAAUACCCUGCGGUGGACUGAGGACCGCGCAUCUGCAAGGAUGCUGGCGUAAUGGUCACCAGCGACCCGUCUUGAAACACGGACCAAGGAGUCGUCUUCGUAUGCGAGUGUUCGGGUGUCAAACCCCUACGCGUAAUGAAAGUGAACGCAGGUGAGAGCUUCGGCGCAUCAUCGACCGAUCCUGAUGUUCUCGGAUGGAUUUGAGUAAGAGCAUACGGGGCCGGACCCGAAAGAAGGUGAACUAUGCCUGUAUAGGGUGAAGCCAGAGGAAACUCUGGUGGAGGCUCGCAGCGGUUCUGACGUGCAAAUCGAUCGUCAAAUAUGGGCAUGGGGGCGAAAGACUAAUCGAACCUUCUAGUAGCUGGUUUCCGCCGAAGUUUCCCUCAGGAUAGCAGUGUUGAGCUCAGUUUUAUGAGGUAAAGCGAAUGAUUAGGGACCCGGGGGCGCUAUAUUGCCUUCAUCCAUUCUCAAACUUUAAAUAUGUAAGAAGCCCUUGUUACUUAGU
rnacentral:rRNA from 1 species